ACACUGAUGAUUGUUAUCGUCUGACCCUGCAGAGGAAGUUCACAGCUUGCUGAGAGCUCUGGUGCUCUUCCAGUUUGACGGUCCGGCCAGCAGCCUGCAGAGACUUCAGUGUCCUGCUGCAGCUCAUGGAGGCGGCCCUUCCAGAGAUCUGGAGUGAGAACCUGCAGCACGGCCAAACUCCACUCACGGGUCCUAACUCAACAGCCAAUAGCAUUACGGCAUCAUUUCAGCAGCAGAGACCCGCUGUGCCUCAGCAAGACGCAGAAGCCCUGACUGCUCCCAAGAUGAGAAACUUAGGCCUUUUUUUGUUUUGUUUUAAUAAUUGUAUUUUAUUAAGAUAAAAUUUUUUAUGGUACAUUAUGGAUGAAUUAAAGAUUAUAAAAUGUU